UGCGGGAUCGUCUAAUGGUAGGACAGCAGAAUCUGGAUCUGCAUAUUGGGGUUCGAAUCCCUAUCCCGCAG
rnacentral:tRNA from 1 species